rnacentral:rRNA from 1 species
GAUGAACGCUGGCGGCGUGCCUAAUACAUGCAAGUCGAGCGAACAGACGAGGAGCUUGCUCCUCUGACGUUAGCGGCGGACGGGUGAGUAACACGUGGAUAACCUACCUAUAAGACUGGGAUAACUUCGGGAAACCGGAGCUAAUACCGGAUAAUAUAUUGAACCGCAUGGUUCAAUAGUUAAAGACGGUUUUGCUGUCACUUAUAGAUGGAUCCGCGCCGAAUUAGCUAGUUGGUAAGGUAACGGCUUACCAAGGCAACGAUGCGUAGCCGACCUGAUAGGGGGAACGGCACCACGGAAACUGAGCAACGGUCCAGACUCCUACGGGAGGCAGCAGGAGGAAUCUUCCGCAAUGGGCGAAAGCUUGACGGAGCAACGCCGCGUGAGUGAUGAAGGUCUUCGGAUCGUAAAACUCUGUUAUUAGGGAAGAACAAAUGUGUAAGUAACUAUGCACGUCUUGACGGUACCUAAUCAGAAAGCCACGGCUAACUACGUG